AGAGUCCUCUUCACGUAGCCGCCGUGGGAAAGAGCGCGCGGGGGGAGCUGGGAAACUCCUCUCGUCCGCCACCAUCUUGCUUUCUUUCCAGCCGGCAGUGACCGAGGAUUAGAGCGAGCUUGAGCCAUGAAGCUACUAAGCAGAGCCGGGUCCCUCUCGAGAUUUUACUCCCUGAAAGUUGCUCCCAAAGUGAAAGCCACGGCCGCCCCUGCAGGAGUGCCUUCACAGCCUCAGGACCUUGAGUUUACCAAAUUACCAAACGGCUUAGUGAUUGCUUCUCUGGAAAACUAUGCUCCUGCAUCAAGAAUCGGUUUGUUCAUUAAAGCUGGCAGCAGAUAUGAGGACUCCAACAACUUAGGAACCUCUCAUCUGCUUCGUCUUGCAUCCAGUUUGACUACUAAAGGAGCUUCAUCUUUCAAGAUAACCCGUGGAAUUGAAGCAGUUGGUGGUAAAUUAAGUGUGACUUCAACCAGGGAAAGCAUGGCCUACACUGUGGAAUGCCUGCGGGACCAUGUUGAUAUUCUAAUGGAGUUCCUGCUCAAUGUCACCACAUCACCAGAAUUUCGUCGUUGGGAAGUGGCUGCCCUUCAGUCUCAGCUAAGGACUGACAAAGCUGUAGCUUUUCAGAAUCCACAGGCUCAUGUCCUUGAAAAUCUGCAUGCUGCGGCUUACCGAAAUGCCUUGGCCAAUUCUCUGUAUUGUCCUGAUUAUAGGAUUGGAAAAGUGACACCAGAUGAGUUGCAUUACUUUGUUCAGAACCAUUUCACAAGUGCGAGAAUGGCUUUGAUUGGACUUGGUGUGAGUCACCCUGUUCUAAAGCAAGUUGCAGAACAGUUUCUCAACAUGAGGGGUGGGCUUGGUUUACCUGGUACGAAGGCCAAGUACCGUGGAGGUGAAAUCCGAGAGCAGAAUGGAGACAGUCUUGUUCACGCUGCUCUUGUAGCUGAAAGUGCUGCCACAGGAAGUGCGGAAGCAAAUGCAUUUAGUGUUCUCCAGUAUGUUCUUGGUGCCGGACCACAUGUCAAGAGGGGCAGCAAUCCCACCAGCUCUCUGUACCAGGCUGUUGCCAAGGGAGUUCACCAACCAUUUGAUGUUUCCGCUUUUAACGCCAGUUACUCGGAUUCUGGACUCUUUGGGAUUUACACCAUCUCACAGGCUGCCGCAGCUGGGGAUGUUAUCAAGGCUGCCUAUGGCCAAGUAAAAACGAUUGCUCAAGGAAACCUUUCCAACGCAGACAUCCAAGCUGCCAAUUACAUACCUUUUACUGGACAGGAACAAGCUGAAAGCUGGCUACCUAAUGUCAGUGGAGUCUUCUGAGGGGUUCCUGGAUGAAGUCGGGUCCCAGGCGCUGGGUGCAGGAUCGUACACGCCACCAGCCACAGUCCUUCAGCAGAUAGACUCCGUAGCUGACGCCGAUGUCGUAAACGCUGCAAAGAAGUUUGUUUCUGGCCGGAAGUCAAUGGCGGCAAGUGGAAAUCUGGGCCAUACACCUUUUGUUGAUGAGUUGUAAUACUGAAACACAUCUUGCAGGGAAGAGCUGAACAUGUUCUCAACCCAGAGCAGCAAACACAUGAAAGUCAAAGAUCUCUAAUAUAACAUUUAUCUUUUUUUUUUUCAAUGAGGUGAAAUGUCUUAACAUAUAAAUACAGGUAAUUAUCCCCAGCUGACUUAAAGUCAAUAAAACAUUCUGUUUAAAUGUU